CACAAAGUGAGCUGCUAAACCUUAUUGUGAGCCAAAGUUGCUGCUAGUUUUUGUCCGAGCUGCGGUAUUGUUUAUGAAUCCGUGGCUUGUGGCAGAGCAGACACGAAGGGACGAAAUGCUCAAUUCUGCUCGUAUGGUCUUAUUAUUGCCUAUUUCCGCCGUGACAACGGAAGAGGAAGCCGCUGAAUAGAGGUACAAAGCAAACAUUUAUUGCACGCCCAAGUUAUUCUUGAGAAGAUUUGGUGAGCCUCCUUUGUGGACCAUUACUGUCCUUGUGAUGAAGGUAACUGUACAGUUAAGUGACUUGCUGUUCUUCAAGAUUCAUUUAAUGAUCUUCAGAAGAUACUUUUAAAAGUCAGUCACGCAGGAAGGACACAAGUUUCAAGAUCAGCGCUGUGUGUAGCACACCGCUACAAUUGAUGACACACCUCGUCGGCCGAGUUUGUGUACGGUGCACCCCUGGUCGUCCCAGGAGAGUUCAUACCAGCCCCAAGGGGGCAAGAGGAAGAACCCGCAGCAGUCCUGGCCAGACUACGCGAGAGGCUCAGUAACCUGGCCCCCAUACCCACUUCACAGCACGGGCAGAACCCGACCUGAAUACCCAAAGACCUACAGAACUGUAAGUUUGUGUUUGUAUGAAGGGGCAGACACCGGACACCACUACAACAGCCCUACAAGGGGCAGUUUACGGUGACCAGAAAGAACAGGUCCACAUUCGUGCUGGACAUUGGGGGGAGAGAGGAGGUUUUCACAGUGGACCGACUCAAACCGGCCCAUGUGGACUUGGCGCAGCCGGUCAAGGUUCAGGCACCGCGGUGCCGAGGCAGACCUCCCAAACAGAGACCCACCCAGACUGAGGACAUUGGGGGAUGUAUCGCCGGUUCUGGGGGGGGGGGGGUUAUGUGGCGACCCACUUCCCAGCGCACUUGAACUGGCUCACAAAGUGGCACGCGCCGGCAUUGAGGCCGGUCCCAAAAAGGGCGCCAGGCCUUCUUCACCAGCAAGGGGAAAAGCCCACGCACAGGACAGGACUGUGAAUAUGUGCCCCCUAAAGCAUUCCCGCCAGGGGAGGGUGGGAACAGGAAGGCUUUAAAGUGAGGCUGUGAAGUUUGAAUAAAUCUCUUUUGC